UACGUAGGGUGCAAGCGUUAAUCGGAAUUACUGGGCGUAAAGCGUGCGCAGGCGGUCUCUUAAGACAGGUGUGAAAUCCCCGGGCUUAACCUGGGAACUGCGCUUGUAACUGAGAGGCUAGAGUGUGGCAGAGGGGGGUGGAAUUCCACGUGUAGCAGUGAAAUGCGUAGAUAUGUGGAGGAACACCGAUGGCGAAGGCAGCCCCCUGGGCUAACACUGACGCUCAUGCACGAAAGCGUGGGGAGCAAACAGG
rnacentral:rRNA from 1 species